AAUAAGUACAACCAUAAAUUUUCAUGUCCAACUUUAAUCGUUUGUCUUAUUUAAAAUACUUUUGAAAAAAACUAAAAAACCAUAACUCACGCAUAAAGUACUAUUCAUGUUUUAUAAUCUAAUAACAAUAAAAGCACUAAUCAUAAAAAAUAAAUAAGACGGACGAUAAAAAUUAGACACGGAAACUUAUAAGUGCGUUUAUU
rnacentral:pre_miRNA from 1 species